AGAGGGAGAAAGGAGGCAAUUAACUACAGUCUGAAUGUAAAAUAAAAUCGUCUGAAUUAAAAUAGAAUCUGAUAAAACAAAACAAAGGAGGUCAUUAACUAGAGAAUUAGGCUGGACUAGAUAUACAUAUUAUACUGUAUUUUCCCACUAAAAACAUCCAGCGGGGAGGCUGAUGCAGCACUAUCACGAAUUGUUCCAGCUCUUCCUGAAUCGAUAUGGUUUGUCGAUGUUGGGAUCCUCGACGGUGAUUAGCAACUGAAUCGUGGAUGGAAGUACACUUUACUUCAAAGGAUUGGACACAUAUGAAGCGGUUAUUGAUGAAGUCAUGGAAAAGGGACUUGCCAAUGCUACACAGUCAUGAAAUCUUUGUCUGUUUCACUCUUCUUCCAUACAUGAUAUGCAAGGUUCUUGGGAUGCUCGGUACUGUUGCCAGGAGGUACGAAAUGGUUUGAUCUGUCAAGCAUGGAUUGCUGAAGCACAAAAUACAAGGGGGUGCAUGAGGAGGCGAGAACUGACGGCAACCAUUGGAGGAGGUCUGGUCGGUCGAAGAGUAAGGCGUGGGAAACUCCGGAGAGAUUUGGCUUGAGCAAAUGUCGAUGCUGCUGCAAUGAGAAGACCCUUUCUGUGAGCCCUAUCCCUCUCAUUUAGCGUCUCGAUUUUGGGUUCUUCUGCUCCCUGUUUCUCUGUUCAUUUGUGGUGAUGGAUAGAAAGCAUCCAUACUUCCAUAGGCAGAAGCUUGCACUUACCAAAUAGGUAAUAUUUCCAGUUCUGAGUACCUAUUUCUUAGAACAAUGCAUCUAUUAUGUCAUCAGUGUGCUGAUAGAACCGAGUCACCGGAAAUAUUGCAGUAUAGCUUGUUGGAGUAAAACAUGUACUUUUGAUUUUAUUUAU